GCAACAUUUACCGCUAACCGGUUGCGCUCUCUCGCUCACGCUCUUUAUUCAGCUGCGGCGCUCUCUCGAUGUCGUCUGUGUCUGCUGUGCUUUCGUUGCUCUCACCCGCUCUCUCUCUCUCUCUCUCUGUGUUGCUUUCACUUCGCUCUCUUGCUCUCUUAGUGGUAUACACAGGAAACGAAGGCAAGAAGCCUCACGAAUUGACGCAUGUCCAUGUCUGAUGGGAGAGCCGUUACAGGGUGCCUCUUGUUCAUCAUUAAACAGCCACAGAC
rnacentral:lncRNA from 1 species